UGGGGAAUAGCCUUUGGAAACGAAGAUUAAUGCCCCAUAGUAUUAUAAACUGGCAUCGGUUUAUAAUUAAAGUUUCGGCGGUAUAAGAUGACUAUGCGUUCUAUUAGUUAGUUGGUAAGGUAACGGCUUACCAAGACAUCGAUAGAUAGGGGUCCUGAGAGGGAGAUCCCCCACACUGGUACUGAGACACGGACCAGACUCCUACGGGAGGCAGCAGUGAGGAAUAUUGGACAAUGGGGGCAACCCUGAUCCAGCCAUGCCGCGUGUAGGAAGACUGCCCUAUGGGUUGUAAACUACUUUUAUAUGGGAAGAAUAAGGUCUAUGUAUAGACUGAUGACGGUACCAUAAGAAUAAGCACCGGCUAACUCCGUGCCAGCAGCCGCGGUAAUACGGAGGGUGCAAGCGUUAUCCGGAAUCAUUGGGUUUAAAGGGUCCGUAGGCGGGCUUGUAAGUCAGUGGUGAAAGUCUGUGGCUUAACCAUAGAAUUGCCAUUGAUACUGCAGGUCUUGAAUUAUUGUGAAGUGGUUAGAAUAUGUAGUGUAGCGGUGAAAUGCUUAGAGAUUACAUAGAAUACCGAUUGCGAAGGCAGAUCACUAACAAUAUAUUGACGCUGAUGGACGAAAGCGUAGGUAGCGAACAGGAUUAGAUACCCUGGUAGUCUACGCCGUAAACGAUGGAUACUAGUUGUUUGGCUUUCGGGCUGAGUGACUAAGCGAAAGUGAUAAGUAUCCCACCUGGGGAGUACGUUCGCAAGAAUGAAACUCAAAGGAAUUGACGGGGGCCCGCACAAGCGGUGGAGCAUGUGGUUUAAUUCGAUGAUACGCGAGGAACCUUACCAGGGCUUAAAUGUAGUAUGACAGGACUAGAGAUAGUUUUUUCUUCGGACAUAUUACAAGGUGCUGCAUGGUUGUCGUCAGCUCGUGCCGUGAGGUGUCAGGUUAAGUCCUAUAACGAGCGCAACCCCUGUGGUUAGUUGCCAGCGAGUCAAGUCGGGAACUCUAGCCAGACUGCCGGUGCAAACCGUGAGGAAGGUGGGGAUGACGUCAAAUCAUCACGGCCCUUACGUCCUGGGCCACACACGUGCUACAAUGGUAGGGACAGAGAGCAGCCACUGGGUGACCAGGAGCGAAUCUAUAAACCCUAUCUCAGUUCGGAUUGGAGUCUGCAACUCGACUCCAUGAAGCUGGAAUCGCUAGUAAUCGGAUAUCAGCCAUGAUCCGGUGAAUACGUUCCCGGGCCUUGU
rnacentral:rRNA from 1 species